GAUGAACGCUGGCGGCGUGCUUAACACAUGCAAGUCGAACGAAGAUGCCGGAGUGCUUGCACUUUGGCAGACUGAGUGGCGGACGGGUGAGUAACGCGUGGGUAACCUGCCUUAUACAGGGGGAUAACAGUUGGAAACGACUGCUAAUACCGCAUAAGCGCACGGUAUCGCAUGAUACCAGUGUGAAAAACUCCGGUGGUAUAAGAUGGACCCGCGUCUGACUUAGCUAGUUGGUGAGGUAACGGCCCACCAAGGCGACGAUCAGUAGCCGGCCCUGAGAGGGUGAACGGCCACAUUGGGACUGAGACAGGCCCAGACUCCUACGGGAGGCAGCAGUGGGGGAUAUUGGACAAUGGGGGCAACCCUGAUCCAGCGACGCCGCGUGAGGGAA
rnacentral:rRNA from 1 species